rnacentral:lncRNA from 1 species
AGUUUGAGCGUGAGCAGCGUGCCAUUGUUGUCCAUAUAGAGAGGGGAGUAGUCACUGUUAACGCUUGAGCUUGAGCAGCGUGCCACCGUGAUGGAGUAGCCGUGCCACCGUGAGAACGCAAACGGAGUCUCUACGAUUUUGCCCUAGGUUUUCAUCUCGAUUCCUUUCUUUCUGUGUUGUGUAAUUUUGUUAUUGAUUCCAACUCUUUCUCGUUUUUAGACAAUGAGAUAUUAGAGAAUUUGUUUCACCAUAUUCAGUUGAGUGAUUUCCACAUGCUUCAACCUUAAACACAUUCCAAAAACUUGAAAAACCCUUCCAAUAGCGCCCUGAAUUUCCAAAAUUUCCCAAAUUUCCCAAAUGCUGCCCUCAGAAACGAAACCACAAAUUUAAGAACAAGCUCCUACACUGAUAGUCGUGGUUCUUCUUUGGUUCUUUCUUCCAAUUUACAUGCUACUUGUGCUCGCGGUAACAGUUCAUUCUUCUGUAGUUUUUUCUUCUACAGUUCGUUUUUAUUUCGAUUUUCUCAUUGGUUAGGGUUCAUGGUGACCUAAGUAGAGUUGAUCAUUCUCUUGUAAUUGCUUUUGUCACUAUGUUUGGACUAAUAUGCAUAUCUCUAUAUAUCACACCAUGCAUCUAUGACCUCCCUGUACCUCAAAUCAACUCAUAUGUAAUCAUACUCCUUGCCUUUUCUCCAAUAAACAAUUUUGUAGACUCUAUUUGACUAUUUUUAUAAUUAUAUACAUAUAUAUUCCCAUGGACAAUAUAUAUUGUUAUGAGCGUGGACAAUGCAUACUGGUGUUGUUGCCAUUAAUCAAAUCAGUCUUUAAUAAGAUGUUUGGUUUGGUGGAGAAUUAGAUUUAAAUCGAAGUUGGUUUAUAUAAAGGAAAUAAAAAAAAUCGAAGUUGUUCCUACCGACCAUGUUGUUUUUCCCUGUUUCUUUUUUCUUUUAUAAAUUAUCAUUUUCCACAUUUUUUAAUCUACUUUUUCUUAAAAAAUACUCAAAACUGUAACAAUAUUUGUGUAUUGAAGUUGCUGAAAUUUGUAUCAUUCUUAUAGGUAACCUUUUUUCUUCCUUUCUCUCAUGUUUGUUCUGUUAAAGUUUUCAUGAUUUAUCUUGAGAAAUGAAGUUGCUUGCUAAGUGUUUGAGCUACAUUUCUAAGGUUGAAAUAUUGAGUACUAGUUGAUUUCUAAUGUACCCUUAAACAAUAUCCAUCAUAAUUUUAAAAUGAUAGGGCAAUUUGUGAUGCUUUACUUUUUUUAAUUUGUUUAUAGCAGUGUAUUUGUAAAGGAGCUAGUUAGUAUACUUUGAAUGUUUUGGAAGGAAAUUUUAUUGAAGUUUUUUAUCAAAUCUUUGGAGUCAUUAUUUAUGACAAUAAUCAUGCUCUUCCAGAGUCUGAAGAUGUAGAGUAACAGCUCUGAAGAUGUAGAGUAACAGCUGUGUUUUCAGGUGGAAAACAAAUAUGGCUUAACAGUUCUUAUUUGUUUGCAGAUCACAACCAUAAUCAAUUCAGAAUAGAAGAAUAGUGCUUUGAGGUGAGUGUUCAAACUAUUUUGUUAAAGAAAUCAGCAAAUGAAAUGUUAUGGUAAACAUUGAAAGCAAAGUUGAAAGUUGAAUGUUAUAAUAAAAGGGCAUUCUUUUCUUAUUUUAUUAUUAUUGAUAACAGUUCUUACACAGGACAAGUUAUUUUCUAUCAAAUAUUCUAACAAUACUAUACUGCUUAUAGGUCCAAACUAUCAAUUCUGUGUGAUGCUGAGGUUGCUCUCAGGUACCAUUAUUUCUCCUCCUUCAACUUUCCCUUUUCUUCUUCUUAAAUUAAUGUGUGAAUGCUUAUGCUUCCUGUAAUUUUAGCACCCCUCUUGCAACCAAGACUAGUUCCUUUAAUAUGUGACCUUGUAAAUUUCAUGCAUACCUAUAAAAUUUCACUUGUAAUGAUCCGUGUGAAAAGGUUAUUCAUAAUUUUGUGUAGGUUUAUGUGCAUGAUGUGACUACUGUUAGUUCCCUGGAAUAUAUGUAGCUGAAGGUAAUUGAGACUUUAUGAAAUUAUCAUUAAUUUAAAAUGUGUUAUCAAGGAUUGAAAUUGACCACAGUGUGCGUGUGACAAUUCCUAGAAAAGAAUUAUGAAUAAGAAAUGAGUGAAUGUUAAAGAAUAAAGAGGCAUAAUGUUAGCAGUAAUUAUCUAGUGUUGUGCAGGUUGUUAGAAUUCACAUAUUCAGAUAUUCAGAUAUUCAGAUAUAAAAUUAGAAUGAUUAGAAUUCACAUAUUCAGAUUGUUAGGUCUAAGUUAAUAUAACUGUUUCCAAAGGUAAUAAAAUGAUUAGCAGCUGCAGUUGAUGAGGGAAAUUGCAUCAUGUCUUUGCUAUUCUCAUCACUUUGCAUCAUGGAAAUUAGAGGUGUGCUAAAGGAGAAAAAUCUCAUUCUUAUUAUUCUCAUUCAUACCCUUUUACAGUAGUUUCUUAAUUUUAUUCUUUUCUUCACAUGUAUAAGUUUUAUCUUAAACUAUUCUUCUCCUUUUAUGCAUGAAACAUGUCUCCAAGUAACAUUAUUAUACUUUGUUUCAGAUCUAGAACAACCUAUUUGCUCGAUUACUGGUUUGCCUGCCAAGUAAGAUCUCUUUUAUCAACUUGGUAGUUCUUGCAUUUUUCUUUUCUAAUGUUGCAGUUCUUGGUUAAAAUUGUCUUUGGAUAGCUUGUAUUCUUGUUAUUUAUGUUAUUAGUACUUGAGUAUUUUUUUGGGAUGGGAAGUUUGGAUAUGCUUUCCUUGCAUAGAACAAUCGGUUUUAUGUUAUCUACUGUUAAGGAAUUCUUUAGUCUAUUUCCACUAUACCCACAUAUUGUUAAGGAAUUCUCUCUGGAAUAAUAUAGGUAUCGUGAUCCAAAGACUGGCCUGCCAUAUAACUCUUUUCCUUGUAUUAACUAAUUCUGUUUUAGUCCACUUAUUGCACAUCACUCAUAAUGCCAUUUGUAUGUACUUCAACCAUACUUUAUUUUUUUGGUCCAUAAUUGUUCUUUUGUGGGUUUGGAACUUGAUCUUGAGCAUUAUGUAUAUGCAGCUAACUUGACAGAGAAUCCAAGGUCACCGGUUAGUGGGUCUGGCAGCAAUUCAUCUCCCCAUCAAGGUUUUACUUUCAAAACUGCAUUCUGUAAUUAUGAUAAUUGACUAAUUAAAAACAUAAAUUGGUCCAUUGAUCCCUUUACUAAAUUUUUGCUGCUUACUUUCAACCUGUUCAUUUUUUCACCAUGAAUCCUCACUUUUUUUUGUAAUGUAUCUGCAAUUGGAUGUACAUAAGAAUUUAAUUGGUUCAAGAUUAAACAUGUCUUCUGCGCUUCGUAUUUUUAUAUUAGGUGAUAACAUGAUUGUACUUAUUCAUAAUAACUAAUUAGACUUACAGACAAGGUAAAGAAUCAUCAAAUUUUUUUCUACAGGUUUUAUUGCUAAUAAAUAUUUUAUGUAUUUUUUCUUAUUGUUUUCAUUUGUUUCUCAUUUUUUUUAGACUGCUUUUGGUAUUUGGUAUAUGAAGAACCUAUAAUCUACUGGGCUGCCGAUUUUCAAUGGAAUGCCUUAAAAAACAACUGUUCCUAAGAUCCUGAAUAUAACCACCAAGAUAUCACUAUACAUGUAUGAUCUGCCCUUUUGUUGCCUUUGUUUUGGAAGAAAAGACUAAAAGGGGCUUAUUUUGCAGCCAAACAAGCUUCUCUUGUCUCCCCCAUUUUACCUUCAUUUCCACAUAUGUAAAUGUCUAAAACCCUUAAUUUCUGCAAAUUUCUACCGGUAAAAAGAUAAGGAAAAUUCUACAUAAAUCAUUAUUUGGUUAAAUUUCUUGGUAGUUCUUGUAGUUUAACAAAUUUUACAUUUUAAUUCUUAUAAAUUUUACAUUUUAAUUCUUAUAUGAAAGACCAUCAAUUUUAGAUUUUAU